CCCAAUGCAGAGCUCUUACUGCCAGCUGGAAAUCCAGCAGAGACCUCAUUAAGGGCAUCUGUUCAGUAAUUACUACAAGUUUCCCCUUGUCACGCAUCCAGCACUGAAAACAGCCCUACCACAGAACCCAACACCCAAUUCACAGAGGGCCUUAAUAUUCCACUUCUAUAGAGCCCAGACUGACAGCCCCCAGAGGUCCAGGGUCAAGUUUCAGCACGAUCAUCUCUUCUAAGGAGGAUGAAAAGGGUUAGGAGAAGAACCACACUAUGAUCCUGGAUUUUAGGAAGACACGCUUUUUGGAAGAUAAGAUCUUGUGGGAAAUACUAGGUGCCUAAAUAACUGAUUCAAGACAAGGUGUGAUCUCUGACAAAUGACUCCAGGACCAUGGGGAGUGCAGAGAAAAAUUCCUUCUAAAGGGAAUGGAGAGUGGAGGGGGUGGCAAGAGACGGCUGGCAUCUGAAGGAUAGACAAGGUUUGAGAUGCUGAGAAGGGGAAAUGGCCCUCCUGGUAGGAACAGCCUGGUCAAAGGCUCUGAGAGAUGGGAUAUGCUUCGCCCUUCUCUCUCUGGAGUCUGGUGAGGUUUGGGGACCCAAGGGAAUGACUGUGAUUUGGCGUCGUGAUUCUUUUAGAUAUGUUUUCUCUGGCAAGCCAGAGAGCUCCCAACAAGCUCCCAAGAAGAUGGAAAAGCAAAUAUCUUAGACAUCAGAUGCUGCCAAAGUUUACUCCAAACAAGGAAGUCAAGAAAAUCACUACGCCCCCUUCCUCCCAGCAACUGUCCCCACCACUAAACUGGAGCCCUGAUAAUAUUACUUCUCAACAGUUCUUGACCAGAGGAUGUUAUCAAAGUAACCCAGAUAUGAUUGACUCCUAGGAUUUGGGGAAGUGCAGAGAAAUUUUAUCCAUCCUGUAGCUGACAAUCUUGCUACAGAAGAAGACACAGGCCAGCAGGGGUUUGAGGAAGGUACUACAGCUGGGAAUGACAGGCUUUGGAUGCAAAAGUUUCACUGUGUAUGGCUAGCUGUUAUGAUCUUUCCAGGGCCUGAAAUUACCGUUACACAGUUUAUACAGGGAAACUCAUUCCCUGCAACCAGCAAUCAGUUAUUGAGGACUUCCAGUUGCAGUGCUCUGUUUCAGGAGCUGGUCAUAAAUAUGUAAAAAGAAACCAAUGCUGAGUCCCGGGAGGAGUCUGCCCAGUGUAACAUGUGGAAUAACAGUGCUAUC